GUUGACGUAGCUUAAAGUUAAAGCAAAGCACUGAAAAUGCUUAGAAGGGUCUAUACCCCGUAAACA
rfam:Erinaceus europaeus unplaced genomic scaffold scaffold00106, whole genome shotgun sequence